UAGGCUUGACAUGCACGGAAAUCUCGUAGAGAUACGGGGUGCCUUUGGCGUCGUGCACAGGUGGUGCAUGGUUGUCGUCAGCUCGUGUCGUGAGAUGUUGGGUUAAGUCCCGCAACGAGCGCAACCCUCGUUCUAUGUUGCCAGCACGUGAUGGUGGGGACUCAUAGGAGACUGUCGGGGUCAACUCGGAGGAAGGUGGGGAUGACGUCAAAUCAUCAUGCCCCUUA
rnacentral:rRNA from 1 species